AACGAACGCUGGCGGCAGGCCUAACACAUGCAAGUCGAACGCCGUAGCAAUACGGAGUGGCAGACGGGUGAGUAACACGUGGGAACAUACCCUUCGGUUCGGAAUAACUCAGGGAAACUUGAGCUAAUACCGGAUACGUCCGAGAGGAGAAAGAUUUAUCGCCGAGGGAUCGGCCCGCGUCUGAUUAGCUUGUUGGUGAGGUAACGGCUCACCAAGGCGACGAUCAGUAGCUGGCUGAGAGGAUGGCCAGCCACAUUGGGACUGAGAGACGGCCCAGACUCCUACGGGAGGCAGCAGUGGGGAAUC
rnacentral:rRNA from 1 species